rnacentral:rRNA from 1 species
ACGUACGCUGGCGGCACGCGCUAACACAUGCAAGUCGAGACGCAGUAGCAAUACUGAGGUGGCAAGACGGGUGAGUAUAAUGUGGGAAUCUGGCCUGGUGGUUUGGGAAUAACACGGGGAAACUGUGUGCUAAUACCGAAUAAGCCGCCUACAGGGAAAGUUUUAACGCCGAAAGAUGAGCCUGCACUUGAUUAGCUAGUUGGUAAGGUAGGAAAGCUUACCAAGGCAACGAUCAGGGAGCGGUUCCGAUUAGUGGAAGACCAGCCACAUUGGGACUGAGACACGGCCCAGACUCCUACGGGAGGCAGCAGUGGGGGGGAAUCCGAUUGCACAAUGGGGGAAACCCUGAUGCAGCGAUGCCGCGUGAGUGAAGAAGGCCUUUGGGUUGUGAGGGAAACUCUCGAUUCGUCGGGGAAGAAAAUGACUGUACCCGAAUAAGAAGGUCAGUUCGGAUUGUACUCUGUAACUCGAGGGUGCAUGAAGCUGGACGGCUAACUUCGUGCCAGCAGGGGCCGCGGUAACGAUACGAAGGGACCUAGCGUAGUUCGGAAUUACUGGGCUUAAAGAGCUCGUAGGUGGUUAGGGAAAAAGUUGAUGGUGAAAUCCCAAGGCUCAACCUUGGAACUGCCAUCAAAACUUUUGGUAGCUAGAGUGUGAUGGGAGAGGUAAGUGGACGAAUUUCUAGUGUAGGCCUGAAAUUCGUAGAUAUUAGAAAGAACACCAAAUGCGAAGGGGGCAACUUGGGCCUGGGUCACGACUACUGACACUGAGGAGCGAAAGCAUGGGUAGCGAAGAGGAUUAGAUACCGGGGGCGUAGUCCAUGCCGUAAACCGAGAUGUGUGCUAGACGUUGGGAAGGAUAUUUUUCAGUGUCGGGAGCGAAAGCGGGAUUAAGCACACCGCCUGGGGAGCGAUACGACCGCAAGGUUAAGGUCAAAUGAAUUGACGGGGACCCGACGCACAAGCAGUGGAGCAUGUGGUUUAAUUCGAAGAUACGCGCAGAACCUUACCAACACUUGACAUGGUUCGUCGCGAAACUAAGAGAUUAGUUUCGGCAGUUCGGCUGGACGAAACACAGGUGCUGCAUGGCUGUCGUCAGCCGGGGGUGUCGUGAGAUGUUGGGUUAAGUCCCGCAACGAGCGCAACCCCUACUUUUAGUUGCCACCAUUUAGGUUCGGAGGGCACUUGUAAAAGGGAACUGCCAGGUGAUAAGCUGGAGGAAGGUGGGGAUGACGUCAAGUCCUCAUGGCCCUUCGAAUGUGUUGGGCUACACACGUGC